CAGAGCUUAGGAAGUCAGUGAUGCUUCCUUUGUGCUGCUAUUCAACUGGGGCAGAGCCAGUAUGGACAUCAGAAGGAUUUGUGAAGUGGAAUUUAAUCUCCCAGAUGGAAAGCAAAUCAAUCUGCCCAUCGCUGCAGCUGAGGCAUACUUUGGCUCAACUUUAAUUUAUUCUCCUAAGCCCAAGAAGGCUCUCGUCGUUUCAAGAGCCUGCUGGAUCCUGGAACAGAAGAGGCUUCUUCAGGCUGUGGGGAAGGC